GUUUUUAAUUCUUUCUCCUGGUGUGUCUGCUCCACCGCCCGAGCUAAUCCCCCAAAUCCGGUCUCCUAAGCCGCAGCUGCUUCCCUUCGCAGUGAUGAAUGGCUCAGGGAGGGAAGGUGAAUUCAUAUUUUAAUUACUGAGACGCGGUGCUAAGGGAGCCGGGGAGGGGGCGGAGGGCUCAGCUUUGUUCUAGAGGCGUCGAGGGCACACCCUCCUUACUGGGUCACUUCUCUUUUGCCCUUUACCUGGGGUGGGGGGUGGCGGGGAGUUAAGGUGGGGGUUGCCUUGCUGAGAGUGCCUCUGCUCUCUGCCUUGGGAGAUGAAGGGAUGGGUCGUGGGGGGCGCAAUAUCCCUCUUCUUGUUUAUCAGAGAAUUGCUGGCAUGCCCCAGCACUUUUAAAUAGCUUCCUAGCCUUCCACCCCCGCUGCCGCCCACUCUGAUGAAGGACAUUGCCAAAAUUCGAGACACCUAGGAGUUUGUGGUCUGCAAGCCUGGGGCCCUGGAUUUCUCUUUAUCUUACUUUCUGGCCUGCUCUGAGUCUCCUCUUUCUCUUGGUUCUUCCACAUGUUCAUGCUGUCUCUGACUCACUGCCCCAUUUUUGCCAGACAUGCUGACUCAAGCUGGGCCUCCUGCCCAUCCAGCUGGCCAGUGGAAAUGCAUUGCACCUAUUAAUUACAGCUAUUAGCUGUAUUACCGGGACGCUGAGAGGCUGAGGGAGGGGAGAAUCUUGACAGGACUUGGAUCCACCGGGCACUGUGCUUGGUGUGGGCCUUGGCUCUGUCUGGAGAAACACGAAGGAAGUUUUUCCAAAAGGGCAAGGUUGUCCAGACCAGUGGAACUGUCCAGAGAGCCACCAUCUGGGCCAUGCCACAUUCCUCAAAGGCAGUGAAACCACUUUGCACAUGUGCCUUGCUGGGGUAACCCAGGACAUCCUAUGCAAUCUCUAUUGCUUGAGGGGCUGGAGAAGGGAGGCGCCUCAUGCUUCCCUAUUCCAAACCCCUUCCGCAUAGCCCUGUGCCUCCCUCCUUCCCCGCAGCACUUGGGCUUCACUCACCUGCUUGCCCCCAUGUUCUUCCUGGAGAGAGGAGUGAUUCAGACCAGGCCCCGGCCUGACCUCCACGCAGGGCGCUUUCCUUCCUUUGUUCUCAGCUUCUCCGCUUGAGUGGCUUGAGUGCACUUCUGCUCCCUUUCCAUAGGCCCAGGGGCAGAGGAAGGGCAGAGAGGUGAACUGGAAAAAUCUGCAGGUGGUUAAGGCUAGGGAAACCUAAAUGAGCCUUUGGAGAAAGGGAUACUCUUGCAGACUGAAGCUGAGCUCCUGAAGCUCCCUCUCUUCCCCAGCCAGACUGCAACAGAUACCAGAGCGGCCCCUGGCUCCUGCUGAGGGCCGGGUCAGCCAGAGGUGGGGGACAGCGUGUCCAGCUGGGGCAGAUCCAGCCUCAGGAAACACUGAGGUUUCAAAGAGCUUUUCCUUGGAAUGUGGGCCUCUCUGGGCAACUAGGGAGGGCAAAAGUCUUCCUCGGCUGGUUCGCCCAAAACCUGGGAGAAGCAAGGGCACAUUCUAUGCUGGCAGCCUCUGCCUGCCCAGCUCAUGCCCACACUCAGGGGCCUUUCCUGGGCUUUGGGCAGAUUGGGUGGGAUUCAGGUUGUCUUUAUGAGGCUUGAGCACAGCUUGAGUUCCUCCUCCCAUCCUCCAACCCCUUCCUUUGCCCCUACCUCCUAGCCCCCACCUUCUACAAUCUGUUAUUUCCUUUUAUAUCCAAAGAAUUAUAAACAGAAGUCCUUCCCUCAAGGGAACAGCAAGAUUCAGCAAUAAAGGCCAGUGGGGUCACAAAGGACAGAAGAAAAACUCCCUGGUUCUUUGUCCUCUUGGAUAGUAGAGGCCUUGGGUGAGGCAAAGAGAUGGGCAGAAAAAGUUACCUUGAUACAGAGGCCAGAGAGCCUCCUGGAGGGCAUGUGUUUCCCUAGCGGUCACCUGCGAGGCUGCAAUCCUAGAAAAGUCACUUCUGUGGCAGAGGAUGAAAUUGUAUCCCCGGAGACUCAGAGAUAUUGGGUGUUAUGUCCUGACCACACAGGCUCACCAGGAGGAAAGGUUAGGAAAGUGGAGAAAGUACGUCCUGGGGAGCGGGUGGCCGAGGAGAGCUUUCCCCUUGUGCGCCUCUCAGGCCUUGGCAGGGAUUGCAGCUGCAGGGGUUUGGCAGUGAGCCCAUCCAGAGAGCUUCCUCCCCCGGGAGAACUCCCUUGGCUCCAGAGGGAUACUAGAUAUCUUGAGCCCUGGCUUUGGGAACAUGGGUGGGGUCCCAAGGUCAAAGUGUUCUGAGUCCUCUGCCUCCAAGCCGGCAGCCCCGCCGGGGUUAUUGUGGCCAGUCCGCCUGGGUUCGCUUCUCUAAAUUUCCAUGGGAUAGGAACUAUAGAUCAUGAAGAAGAAACAGGAACCUUGACUCUUCACGGAGGAGCCCAGGAGGUCAGAACCAUCCACCAGGAGGGUGAGCGGUAGCUGCCCAGGGCAUCCCUGGAGGAAGUCGUCAUACUGAGGAAGAAAUUGCCAAAGCCAAGAGCUCCCAGACCUGGGCAGCUCAGGAGCUGACAGAAACCACCCCCCAGGUCUGGAGUUCAAGGGUUUUCCUCGUGGGCUGCUGGUCUGUCUCUUUCCCUUCUGGGGCAGCCGUCUCUCCUCCUUCAGCUCAUUCCCGUGUUCCAUCUGAGGGGCGGGAGGAAGGCAGGAGGGGGAGAUGGCAGGACCCAGACAGAUCCUCAGGACUCUCCCAGCCUCUGUUGCCAUGGCAACACUGCUAUUUUUAUCCCGUUGUUCAUGAUGCUCAAAGCUCUAACUUUCUCUG
rnacentral:lncRNA from 1 species